rnacentral:rRNA from 1 species
GAUGAACGCUGGCGGCGUGCCUAAUACAUGCAAGUCGAGCGAACAGACGAGGAGCUUGCUCCUCUGACGUUAGCGGCGGACGGGUGAGUAACACGUGGAUAACCUACCUAUAAGACUGGGAUAACUUCGGGAAACCGGAGCUAAUACCGGAUAAUAUAUUGAACCGCAUGGUUCAAUAGUGAAAGACGGUUUUGCUGUCACUUAUAGAUGGAUCCGCGCCGCAUUAGCUAGUUGGUAAGGUAACGGCUUACCAAGGCAACGAUGCGUAGCCGACCUGAGAGGGUGAUCGGCCACACUGGAACUGAGACACGGUCCAGACUCCUACGGGAGGCAGCAGUAGGGAAUCUUCCGCAAUGGGCGAAAGCUUGACGGAGCAACGCCGCGUGAGUGAGGAAGGUCUUCGGAUCGUAAAACUCUGUUAUUAGGGAAGAACAAAUGUGUAAGUAACUAUGCACGUCUUGACGGUACCUAAUCAGAAAGCCACGGCUAACUACGUG